rnacentral:rRNA from 1 species
AUACGGAAGGUCCGGGCGUUAUCCGGAUUUAUUGGGUUUAAAGGGAGCGCAGACGGGCUGUUAAGCGUGACGUGAAAUCCGGGGGCUCAACCUUCGGCUGCGUCGCGAACUGGCGGCCUUGAGUGGACGGUAGGCAGGCGGAAUUCGUGGUGUAGCGGUGAAAUGCUUAGAUAUCACGAAGAACCCCGAUUGCGAAGGCAGCUUGCCGCAGUGUUACUGACGUUCAUGCUCGAAGGUGCGGGUAUCGAACAGGAUUAGAUACCCUGGUAGUCCGCACGGUAAACGAUGGAUGCCCGCUGUUGGCGACACACUGUCAGCGGCCAAGCGAAAGCAUUAAGCAUCCCACCUGGGGAGUACGCCGGCAACGGUGAAACUCAAAUGAAUUGACGGGG